GAUGAACGCUGGCGGCGUGCUUGAUACAUGCAAGUCGAACGGAGAGUGUAGCAAUAUACUUUUAGUGGCGAACGGGUGAGUAACGCGUUGGUGACCUGCCCCGAAGCGAGGGAUAACAGUUCGAAAGAACUGCUAAUACCUCAUGUGAUCACCGGUUUUAGAAUCUGGUGAUUAAAGGUGAAAAUCACUUCGGGAGGGGCCUGCGUCCCAUCAGCUAGUUGGUAAGGUAAUGGCUUACCAAGGCGAUGACGGGUAGGGGACCUGAGAGGGUGGCCCCCCACAAUGGAACUGAAACACGGUCCAUACACCUACGGGUGGCAGCAGUAGGGAAUAUUGCAAAUGGGCGAAAGCCUGAUGUGGCAACGCCGCGUGUGCGAUGAAGGUCUUCGGAUUGUAAAGCACUUUUUGGAGGGAUGAGGAAGGACAGUACCUCCAGAAUAAGCCUCGGCUAACUACGUGCCAGCAGCCGCGGUAAACACGACGAGUACGUACGAGACGGCGGGUCGAGACGGCG
rnacentral:rRNA from 1 species